rnacentral:rRNA from 1 species
UACGUAGGGUGCGAGCGUUAAUCGGAAUUACUGGGCGUAAAGCGUGCGCAGGCGGCGCGUUAAGACAGGUGUGAAAUCCCCGGGCUUAACCUGGGAACUGCGUUUGAAACUACAAGGCUAGAGUGUGGCAGAGGGGGGUGGAAUUCCACGUGUAGCAGUGAAAUGCGUAGAGAUGUGGAGGAACACCGAUGGCGAAGGCAGCCCCCUGGGUUAACACUGACGCUCAGGCACGAAAGCGUGGGGAGCAAACAGG